UACGUAGGGUGCGAGCGUUAAUCGGAUUUACUGGGCGUAAAGCGUGCGCAGGCGGCCCGUUAAGACAGGUGUGAAAUCCCUGGGCUCAACCUAGGAAUUGCGCUUGUGACUGGCGGGCUCGAGUACGGUAGAGGGGGGUGGAAUUCCUGGUGUACCAGUGAAAUGCGUAGAGAUCAGGAGGAACACCGAUGGCGCAGGCAGCCCCCUGGGCCUGUACUGACGCUCAUGCACGCAAGCGUGGGGAGCAAACAGU
rnacentral:rRNA from 1 species